AGGACAAGGACCUGAAUUAGCACCACACUGAGCCGUGGUCAGUAGAUGGAAAUGGUUAAUCAACCAGAGAUUUGGAAUUGACGUAAUAGAAGAAAGUCUUAUGCCUGAGACAUCCGUUCUUCUGGAGAAUCAAAUCUUGCUUAUUGAUGCGUGAAGCGAGUAGGAUCAUCACGUUUAAACGAGGAGCUUUAGAGGUUAAGUUCAAACCCAGCAUACCAGGCGUGCCUGUAUCAUCACGUCCGUUGAGAACAACUCGGCACUGAUACCAUAACCAUAUGUUGUAUGCAAUACGUCUUCAUUCCAAAUCCACCAUGUGAUGUUAUGUGGGAGGACGGCUUAGGGGAGGUGGAUCCCUCUCACUUCAAAUCCCAAAGAAAACAAGAGGAGGACACAUCAAGCAAAUUGCCAGACUGGUCGAGAAAGGAAAAAGAUCGAGAUCAAGAGCACCGGCUGGAUAUGCACUAUGUAAUAGACAUGAUAAGGCGUUAAAGAGUCUCAACAACUUUCCCUCCACCAAACUUUCACGCGCUCGUGCCAGUCGUGUGUCGUCUAUCGUAGGAUUGUGCAACUGCUAAUCCGCAGAAUAAUACGGUGCUGCCUUAUUGGCCCGUAAGUUAAUAACUCGCGCGUGCGUGCAAAAGUUCCACUUCCGUUUAAAGUUCAAUCUCUUUACCGACUUUCAUGGCAUCAUUGCAUGGAGCUUCGGGAGCCUGCUUUUAUAUUAAAGUUUCUUACUUUUGCAACCAAGGAGCUCCUUAAUGCAAUUUUUAUGACCCAGAAGUAAAGGCAGGUUACUGAGUUAAUGAGAAAAAAAACUGUAUUAAAACGAACAUUCGAAAUGCAAUCCCUCAUGUAUAUAAGCAACUAGGGUUCCUGAAAGCUACUCUCAUUUUACCCAAAUGCUUCAUACGUCAAAAUCUAAUGACGGGAAAAGUAGAGGAAAUAUAAGUCGGACAUCGGUGUGAUAAAGCAUGCUUGUUCAUAUAUCUCACCGAGUCGCAAGGGCAGGCUUCGUCUGGACUUUGGAAAUUGAAAUUUAUCAUGUUUGUCCCAACAGGGCUGGAUAAAUUGCAAUGAUGUUAUUUGAUUCAGGAUACUUGGUGCGUUCGAGUCUACAGCCAGUGCUGUCUAGCCGUUGGGAGGGAGAAGGCCAAGAGUUUAUAUGAUUACUUUUUAUUGUUAACGUAUGGAAGCUGGUUUUCUUAACACAUUGGGCAGAGCAAAUAUUAGUGUCUGAUAGAAAUGUGAUAAGGAUAGUAAUUUCAAAAGAAAUACCAUUAUUUUUUAGUGUAAAUGAAAGUUGAGUAACACAGAGAUGCGUAUAUGAAAUGAAUGAUAACAUUUCUGCCCUUCAGGAAAGUAAAAAAGGGGGAAAGCGCACUAUUCCACCUCCACCCCUUUCUUUCGGCAUCCCUUGAUGAAAUUACCUCUCUAUUGCUCUAUUAAAUGUUUAGGGUAAGUUGAAAUGUAGCUGAGAAUCACUACAGUUUAGCAUUCAGAAUUCAAAUCGGAUUUUGAUGAGACUUUCGGUGUUGUAAUCCGGAGAAGCAAAUGUCUUUGUUAUCUCCAUGAUUAAAUUUGAUGUUGGAAUCGACUUGGCUUUUAUAUGUAUACAAUGUUGAAACUAACUUAAAAUCAAAGUGGGAGCUUUUCAGGUAUUUCAUUAUGAACUGUUUCCCCUUGGAAUCGGGGAGUGACCCUGCAAGAGAAACACCAUCUCUGUGUCUGGUCAUAGAUUCCCAUUUUCCCAUCAGUCUAGCCACUUUCCAAACCAUUUCCUAUCGACGAUGUGUUAUUAUUCACAAAAUGUCAUCGAACAAACACUUUGCAAUACAUGUAGUUUCCUGGAUUUGUUUCACAAUGAUCUCUUGUCAAUGUGUAAUCGAUGCAGUACCAUUUUCAAAACCAUUUUCAGAACCUUGGUGGCGUAAAGGCCACCGCACACCUUACGAUUGAUCUGCGACCUUAUUUUGGAUUAAAAUGUAGUAGAAUUUGCUGCUGAUAUUAAAACAUGAACUAUCUUACGGUGUAAUGUUCUUGGUACCUAUGUUCAAAUAUGUGACUAUGCUAUCUUUCUUAUAAGAAUAAAAGCGAAUUUAAUAUCAAGUUGUAAUGACGUCAUCGAUUGGCUACGAUUUGAAACUAAUUUGGCCUUUACUCCAAAGUAAAAGAGUGCAAUCGUCCGAAAUUAUUAUACUAGUAUUGAUUCAGUUAAUCAAAUAAACGAUACUUUUAUUCAUAUUUAAAGAAAAUGAGCAAAAUUCGAUUUGUUCCAAAAUCGGAUCGUGGACCACUGAUCUGAAUUCAGAUCAGUGUCGUGGACCAGUCGUAAGGUGUGCAGUGGCCUUAAUCAGACAAAUAUUCUGAGGCGCCACAAGUUUGCGUAUGUGAAAAGAUAAACAUUUAAAAAAGUCGUGAGCGAGCGAAAAUUUUCGCCUUUUAAACAUGAAUUUAUACUUUUGAGAUAACUUUUUACCUAAUGAUCAACAUUGUGAUAUAUUUAUGAUCUUUCCUUUCCCUUUUUCUUCUUUUUUCUCCUAAUUAUUAUUGUUUUCUUGGUGUUGGAACUUGGAGCGCCAGAGGCCCCAAGUCGCCCUAUAAAUUGAUAAAUAAUGUGAAUGUUACCUACAACCCAUACGCCCCCAAAAUAAUAGAUAAAUGACAAGCAUUAAAAAUGGUAGGAAACAAGGAAAUAA